rnacentral:tRNA from 1 species
GAAUCAUUAGCUCAGUCCGUAGAGCACCUGACUUUUAAUCAGGGUGUCCGGCGUUCGAAUCGCCGAUGACCCACCA